AUUGAACGCUGGCGGCAGGCCUAACACAUGCAAGUCGAGCGGAUGAAGUUAGCUUUUUUCUGGAUUCAGCGGCCGACGGGUGAGUAAUUCCUAGGAAUCUGCCUUGUCUUGGGGGAUAACGUCCGGAUACGGGCGCUAAUCCCGCAUCCGUUCUGAGCGUUAAACUCGGGGUUUUUCGUACCUCACGCUAUCAGAUUAGCCUAGGUCGGAUUAGCUAGUUGGUUGGUUAAAGGCCUACCAAGGCGACGAUCAGUACCUUGUCUGAGAGGAGGAUCAGUCAGACUGGAACUGAGAAACGGUCCAGACUCCAACGGGAGGAAGAAGAGGGGAAUAUUGGACAAUGGGCAAAGGCCUGAUGCAGAAAGGCGGGGUGUGUGAAGAAGGUUUUCGGAUGGAAAAGCACGUUAAGUUGGGAGGAAGGGCAGUAAGGUAAAAACUUGAUGUAUUGACGGUACCAACAGAAUAAGCACCGGCUAACUACGUG
rnacentral:rRNA from 1 species